GGGGGUAUAGCUCAGGUGGUAGAGUGCUUGCCUCACAUGCACAAGGCCCUGGGUUCGAUCCCCAGAACCCCCC
rnacentral:tRNA from 1 species